GGCCACAGCCAUAUCACCCUGCAGCCCAAGACUGGUUGCCCACUGAAGCUAAGCAGGGUUGAGCCUGGUUAGUACCUGGAUGGGAGACCACCUGGGAAAACUAGGUUGCUGUUGGAA
rnacentral:rRNA from 1 species